AAAUAUCACUUUUUGACCCAUCGUUUCAGCGUUUUCUCAAAAAUAUCCCACCCUAAGGAUAAUUACAAAACAAUACCUAUCAUUUCAUUUUUUUCUUGUUUAUGGCCCGUAAAAAUAAUCUGGCAACUGGUAAUUGACGUGUUCCGGCCAAUUGCCAUGUUGGAAGCACACGUGGAAAAAAAAAAGAAAAAAAAAAGAAAGAAAUUCCACAUAUUUAAAAACACAAAUUAAAACACAUAUGAAAACCACCGUCAUCUUUUUCUAUUGCCUCUCGCCUGUCACCUCCCUCUCUAUCUCUUUCCUUCCCUCUUCUUCCUUGCUCUGCCCCUCCUCCAUCUCCGGCGAGGGCCGCCAUCGGCAGCCACGCCGCGGUGCUUCCUGCUCCUCCUUCUACCCUGACUCAAAACACCAAGACCCCCAAAAUCUACAAAUUAAUCCCUAAUUUUUCUCCUCUCGCCCUCGCUGUGAACAGUCGCUACCCUCUCUUCUCAUGGCGAACGGCGAGAAUCGCCACCGCCUUCUCCUCUUCUCUCGGUCGGACAUCAACAGCCCCGUGGCAGCCGCUGCCACUCUCCACCACCUCAAUCCUCCCUCGCUCUCUCAUCGGAACGGGCGGCACGCCGACAGCUCCGUCACCGCCGUCCUUCUUCUCCUCUCUCAGUCCCGGAUGGACUCACACCUCAACAAGCACUCCUAACAAGAAUCAAGCGCAAACAAGAUCAAAGUUGUAAAGAUUGAAGUUUUAACAAAAUUUUAAGGUUUUGUUCUUCUCUGUGUUGCUUCAAUCCCUUCGCCAGAUUCUAGUUGUAAAGGUUAAAGCUUUAUCAAUUAAGUAAAUGUAUUUCCUUAGUUGAGCGAAUUGAGCAAAGAAUCAACGAG
rnacentral:lncRNA from 1 species